GUGUUUGCGGAUGCAGCAUCAUGAAGAUUCACAAUCUCCAAAAGCUUUUUUUGAGUGGGGGUGGUAUAUGAGGUCCCCUUUACUCGAAAGGCUCCUUUCAUAUGGGAAUCUUGAUGAUGCUGCAUCAGCAGAUAU
rfam:Vitis vinifera, whole genome shotgun sequence of line PN40024, chromosome 6, chr6